GUGCAAAGGUAUCAAGAACAAGUUGCGAAACCCCAUGGUGGUAGGUGCUGAAUGGUUGAAUAAAUGAACAGUCCUAAAAUGGAUAUAUUUUGGGGCAACAGUAAGUUGCCCCCAGGAAGAAAAUCACUUUUGGAAAAUAAAACUGGCAAGAAUCUAUGCUAAAUGGAUGAGACCAGCCACAGAAGCACUUCAUCCUAAAAGAUGGUAAAGGCAGAUCCCUACCUCUCCUCCCUUAGGGGAGGACGAAGGUGUCCCAGCCAAGGAAGAUCCUGGUCUCCAAGGGCUGUACCCUACUGAUCCGGAGGCAAAGCAGUGAGGGCCCACCCCAAUUCCUCACCUCCCAUUCUACUCUUCGGCAGAAGCAUCUCAGUGUUGGAAAGAUAAGGAUUUCUUCCUAAAAAGGAAGGAUUACACUAUAUCAGAGUCUGAAGAUACAGUUUUCAUUUGCAACGCAAGGGAAUUCCUUUGAAUCUCUACCUUAUGAUUUCCCUGCAAACCCACUCCGAUGGGGCUGGAGAGUGCUCUCUCACUCAGAUGAAUCUCUCAG
rnacentral:lncRNA from 1 species